UGAACGCUAGCGGCAGGCUUAAUACAUGCAAGUCGAACGGUAACAUGUCCGGCAACGGAUGAUGACGAGUGGCGCACGGGUGAGUAACGCGUAUGCAACCUACCUUUAACCGGGAGAUAGCCCCGAGAAAUCGGGAUUAAUACCCCAUAAUAUCAAUACAGUGCAUGCUGAAUUGAUCAAAGCUCCGGCGGUUUAAGAUGGGCAUGCGUGACAUUAGCUUGUUGGUGAGGUAACGGCUCACCAAGGCAACGAUGUCUAGGGGUUCUGAGAGGAUUCACCCCCACACUGGUACUGAGACACGGACCAGACUCCUACGGGAGGCAGCAGUAAGGAAUAUUGGGCAAUGGACGUAAGUCUGACCCAGCCAUGCCGCGUGCAGGAUGACGGCCCUACGGGUUGUAAACUGCUUUUAUAGGGGAAAAACCCCCCGGACGUGUUCGGGGCUGAUUGUACCCUAUGAAUAAGCAUCGGCUAACUCC
rnacentral:rRNA from 1 species